rnacentral:rRNA from 1 species
CCUACGGGAGGCAGCAGUGAGGAAUAGUGGUCAAUGGCCGGAAGGCUGAACCAGCGAAGCCGCGUGAAGGACGAAGGUGCUAAGCAUUGUAAACUUCUUUUGUCAAGGGACAAAAUCAGGCUCGAGAGCCUGACCGAGGGGACUUGAAGAAAAAGCAUAGGCUAACUCCGUGCCAGCAGCCGCGGUAAUACGGAGGAUGCGAGCGUUAUCCGGAUUUAUUGGGUUUAAAGGGUGCGUAGGCGGGCUGUUAAGGCAGCUGUAAAAGCCCGGGGUUCACCCCCGGCGAGCCGUUGAAACUGGCUGUCUUGAUCUGUCGUGAGUUAUGCGGUAUGCGCAGUGUAGCGG